GGCUCAGAACGAACGCUGGCGGCGUGGCUAAGACAUGCAAGUCGAACGAAUUAUCCAAUUGAGUAAUCGAGAGGAUAGUUAGUGGCGAAAGGGUGAGUAAUGGAUAGGUAACGUACCUUGAGCUUCGGGAUAGCGUCAUUCUCCGCAAGGGGAAUUUCCGAAAGGGGCAUUAAUACCGAAUAAUAUGACCUGUCGAUAGACAGGUUCUCAAAGAUUUAUCGGCUCAAGAGCGGCCUAUCUCCUAUCAGCUUGUUGGUGAGGUAACGGCCCACCAAGGCUAUGACGGGUAGCGGGACUGAGAGGUUGACCCGCCACAUCGGGACUGAGACACUGCCCGGACCUCCACGGAGGGCUGCAGUAACGAAUAUUGCGCAAUGGGCGAAAGCCUGACGCAGCGACGCCCGCGUGUGGGAUGAAGUCUCUCGGGAUGUAAACCACUGUCAGGGGGAAGAAAGUCCGUUUCGGCGGAUUGAUCUACCCCAGAGGAAGUCACGGCUAACUUCGUGCCAGCCGCUGC
rnacentral:rRNA from 1 species